UGGGGAUUCGCCAAGUGGUAAGGCAGCGGACUUUGACUCCGCCAUGCGUAGGUUCGAAUCCUACAUCCCCAGCCA
rnacentral:tRNA from 1 species